rnacentral:tRNA from 1 species
GGGGCUAUAGUAUAACCUGGCAGAACAAUAGGCUCCAGACCUGUGGAUGGGGGUUCGAAUCCCCCUGGCCCCA